UCACCCGCCACGGGAGAACGCCGCCAUCGCGCGGCUGCCGUAGGAGCAACUCCUCCCGGAAUCUCUCAGGCCCACGUACCGUGGCGGCAGG
rnacentral:ncRNA from 2 species